UAGACAGACAACAUUCACACUCACAUUCACACACUAGGGACCAUUUAGUGUUGCCAAUCAACCUAUCCCCAGGUGCAUGUCUUUGGAAGUGGGAGGAAGCCGGAGUACCCGGAGGGAACCCACGCAUUCACGGGGAGAACAUGCAAACUCCACACAGAAAGAUCCCGAGCCUGGAUUUGAACCCAGGACUGCAGUACCUUCGUAUUGUGAGGCAGACGCACUAACCCCUCUGCCACCGUGAAGCCCGGCAUCAAGGUCAAAAAGUUGUGUUGUCCUCUGGCGGGGGAAAGAAGACUGUGAGACUAAUGACGUAUGCAGAUCCCAACCACAGAUCAGCAAGUACCAGAAAGUGUGGUCUGUAAUACAAACAAAGAAGUGCACACCGUAAAUGAACGUUUGAUCCUUUUAUGAGUGGAAACAGAGGGACUUCCAAGCGAACACAACGCCGAGGCCUCGUCAGGUGAAUUCUAUUCCCUGCCUUGUUUGAGUAGAAACAGCAGCAAAUAAAAAGUACAAAGUGUAGACCUCUUGUUACUUCGGGUUUGAUGCCAGACCUCCUGGGAAGCCGCGAUGCUGCCUUGUUUACAUGUGCAGCGGGAAGCAAAGGAAGGGAAAUACAUGGAGAAAAAAAAUAAAUUAAAAAAAGCGACAGGUGAUAUAAGAGUCGUUGGCAGACUCUAAUGAGAGCUGAAAGAGAGCUAAUCUAAUUAAGCUCGUCCUAGUCCUGCUCUGGGUUUGUUGACGCCGCUCUCGGCUGUUACGUAACAUCGCUUUGUUGCCUUCCUCGGAAUACUCUCCAUGUUUGUUUUGUUUGCGCAGGGAAGACGAGAAAAGCUUCCUUCGAAAUCACACUUUUUUUUUUCCCCCCCUCUCCUUUCAUCCGCUUUGAUUCGGCAAGCGCCGACAAGGAGCACAAAGUGAUUUAGAAACCACGCCGUGGAUAUUUGGAAAUUACUUUAACACAGCGAAUAAACGUUAAAAUAAAAAAACAUUCUUUGAAGCAUUUAAGUCUCAUCUUAAAACUCAUCUGUAUACUCUAGCCUUUAAAUAGACCUCCUUUUUAGACCAGUUGAUCUGCCGCUUCUUUUCUUUCUCCUAUGUCCCCCCCUCCCUUGUGGAGGGGGUCCGGUCCGAUGACCAUGGAUGAAGUACUGACUGUCCAGAGUCGAGACCCAGGAUGGACCGCUCGUCGGGACCCAGGAUGGACCGCUCGCCUGUAUCGGUUGGGGACAUCUCUACGCUGCUGAUCCGCUUGAGAUGGUUUCCUGUGGACGGGACUCUCACUGCUGUCUUGGAGCCACUAUGGAUUGAACUUUCACAGUAUCAUGUUAGACCCGCUCGACAUCCAUUGCUUUCAGUCCCCUAGAGGGGGGGUUGCCCACAUCUGAGGUCCUCUCCAAGGUUUCUCAUAGUCAGCAUUGUCACUGGCGUCCCACUGAAUGUGAAUUCUCCCUGCCCACUGGGUGUGAGUUUUCCUUGCCCUUUUGUGGGUUCUUCCGAGGAUGUUGUAGUCGUAAUGAUUUGUGCAGUCCUUUGAGACAUUUGUGAU